rnacentral:rRNA from 1 species
UACAGAGGUCUCAAGCGUUGUUCGGAUUCAUUGGGCGUAAAGGGUGUGUAGGUGGCGCCGUAAGUCGGGUGUGAAAUUUCGGAGCUUAACUCCGAAACUGCAUUCGAUACUGCCGUGCUUGAGGACUGGAGAGGAGACUGGAAUUUACGGUGUAGCGGUGAAAUGCGUAGAUAUCAGGAGGAACACCAAAUGCGAAGGCAGCUCGCUGGGACGUUACUGACGCUGAGACGCGAAAGCGUGGGGAGCAAACAGG